AUCCUGGCUCAGGAUGAACGCUGGCGGUCUGCUUAACACAUGCAAGUCGAACGCAACCUUCGGGUUGAGUGGCGGACGGGUGAGUAACGCGUGAGAAUCUGCCUUGGGGUCGGGGACAACCACUGGAAACGGUGGCUAAUACCGGAUAAGCCUUUGGGUAAAAGAUUUAUUGCCCCAAGAGGAGCUCGCGUCUGAUUAGCUAGUUGGUGAGGUAAAAGCUCACCAAGGCAGCGAUCAGUAGCUGGUCUGAGAGGACGAUCAGCCACACUGGGACUGAGACACGGCCCAGACUCCUACGGGAGGCAGCAGUGGGGAAUUUUCCGCAAUGGGCGAAAGCCUGACGGAGCAAGACCGCGUGAGGGAGGAAGGCUCUUGGGUUGUAAACCUCUUUUCUCAGGGAAGAAGCUCUGACGGUACCUGAGGAAUCAGCCUCGGCUAACUCCGUGCCAGCAGCCGCGGUAAUACGGAGGAGGCAAGCGUUAUCCGGAAUUAUUGGGCGUAAAGCGUCCGCAGGUGGCGAUUCAAGUCUGCUGUCAAAGCACGGGGCUUAACUCCGUUAAGGCAGUGGAAACUGAAUAGCUAGAGUGCCGUAGGGGUAGAGGGAAUUCCCGGUGUAGCGGUGAAAUGCGUAGAGAUCGGGAAGAACAUCGGUGGCGAAAGCGCUCUACUGGACGGCAACUGACACUCAGGGACGAAAGCUAGGGGAGCGAAUGGGAUUAGAUACCCCAGUAGUCCUAGCUGUAAACGAUGGAUACUAGGUGUAGCUUGUAUCGACCCGAGCUGUGCCGAAGCUAACGCGUUAAGUAUCCCGCCUGGGGAGUACGCACGCAAGUGUGAAACUC
rnacentral:rRNA from 1 species